CCCAGGACUUGGCUGACUUCCUGGACUUGAGGCUGGCUUCAAAGGACAUAUAUAUGGAUAAUACACAUACAAAAAGAAGCUCCGUCUCGUUGGUAUUCAGGAACAUAUGCUGCCUUAUUUUACUGAGAAGAAGACCGUCAAAUCCAAAAAGAAGCCAUCAAAUCCAAACACACUCCUUCUCCCGAUUUCAGACCACAUUCAUUGUCAGCAUCUUCUCCUUCUCGUCUGUUACGACCGACGAAAUGCGUCUGCUCCCUGUCAGGGCAAACCCCUUUGCCUGUGCUCUGACUCCACCUCUCUUGCCAACUCAAAACUUCAUUACUUCAUUCAUCUUUCUAAUUUCCUUCCCCGUCCAAAUUUCCUUCCAAUUUCUAUCACCCAUCUACUGGAUCCUUUUUGUCAGCAUUUAAGUAGGCUGAGUGUUGUCCACCUUUAACAGAGAUUCACCCUUAAGAGUUCAUAUCAUCUCUGUGAUAUUCUUGCCAAGAAUGUUUAACCUGAAUCCAAUCAUGACAAAAAAAUCAGGACAAUCCAGAAUGUGGGACAUGCUACGUGACAACCAGCCCAAACUCUCCAAUGUCAGUGGCAUGAAAGACAGAAAAAUACAGGGGACUGUUUCUGAUUAAAGGAGACUACAGAGAUGUGGCAACCAAAUGGAAUGCAUGACUCUUGAUCGGAUGCUGGACCAGAGAAAAAGCUACAAAGGACAUUUUUAAACAUUUGGGGAAAUGUGAAUAUGGUCUCUUUAUUAGAUAACUUUGAUGCUAAAUUUCUUUGAGUGGGAUAUAUCAUGAGGUCAUGUGGGAGAAUGAGCUCGUUCUUAGGAAAAGCAUGCUGAUAUACAGGGGGGUCUGCAACUUUAUUUCCAGUGAUUUACCCCAAAGUGAAUACAUGCGGGUAUGUGCAUGGGAAUUAAAUGUGACAAAGGGUUGACAAAUGAUUAAAGUGAAGGGUACAGAAGUGUUCAUUGUUCUAUCCUUUCAACUUUUCUGUAGGUUUUUCAUUUUUAGGAAUUAGCCAUAUUGGUAUGGGUCUAUUUCUAGACUUUUUAUUUUCUCCCAUUGAUCUGUACAUCUCUCCUUUUGCCAAUACCACAUAAGUCAAGAUGACUAUAGCUUUGUAAUAAGUAUUAAAAUCUGGUAAUAUAAUUC
rnacentral:lncRNA from 1 species